rnacentral:tRNA from 1 species
GGAAGGGUGGCCGAGCGGUUUAAGGCGUCGGUCUCGAAAACCGAUGUACGGGUAACCGUACCGUGGGUUCGAAUCCCACCCCUUCCGCCA